GCAUUCUAAAAAGUGUAGAAAACAGAUGAUCGCUGCUGGUGCCUGUGUACACUUGAAGAAACUUGUUGAGAUGGAUGUAGCGGGGGCAAAGAAACUUUUGGACGGUCUCGGGUGGGGUAAGAUUUGGGGCGUCUUUGCUAGGCCAUAGCAAUCAUACGAUUCUUGAAUUGGUGCAUUCAGAAACCUUGAUUAGAAGAUGAUUGGUUCAUCUUUAUGUACAUUAGCUGUGUUCAAAUUUACUUAUU
rnacentral:misc_RNA from 1 species